AAAAAGACCCGGGCUCCCCUCACUUCUGCUCCCGGCCCAGCGUCACUGCGCCUGGUCCCAUUGGUCCAGUGCAAGGAGGACACUGGACGGCUUAGCUCCCCAGUAGGAGCAGCAUUUUCCCCACCGUGGUGACGGUCCCUCCUCCGGGCACAUGGUUCUCUCCUCCUCCCUGUAUCCCUUCGGCAGGAGGAGCCGAGCUGCUGCUCUGCCCAGGAGGAGCUCCCGUGCUCGCCCACCAGUCCUGCCAGUGGGUCAGCUUCCAUCACACACUGCAGUUGUUUGCUGUUUCUAACUGCUCCUGAAAGGCCCCCACUGUGCUUUGAUCCUCCAAGGCACUCACACCGAGCUUCUGUGAGCAGACAGGUGGCAGUCCGGGCGUCCAGCGGCAGGGGAGGAGGCCCCAGGUGCUGGCGGCUGUCCCCAAGGCAGGCUGGCACACUGUGGCCCAAGGGGAGCCUCUUCACAUCAACCUACAGGACCCGCCAGAGGCAGCCACCUGCCUGGAACUCUCCAGAAGCCCUCUCUCUGAACCUGGACCAGGGGCUCACCAAGAAGGCCAGUCAGACAAAGUGGACAAUUUUGCUGGUCUGGAAAAUCCUGAAAUCUGGAAACAACUGAUCUAGUGAUUAACAGAAGAAAACAUGAAUGCAAUCGGUUUGCCCAUCACUUGGCGAUAAGUGUUUUAACAGAUUUGAUCAACAUCAGUAUGACUUCAAAGUCUUUGUUCAAGAAAUGGGUGUCAACGUUGGUCGAGGCAUGAGAAAGACGGCACAGGAGAGUCGGUCAGAAGUGGCCCGGGUCUUCAGCCUCCGUUCCUGAGGCUGUGGUGCAGAGCUGUACGCCCUGUGCAUGCUUCUUCCUCUUGCCUAUGAGUACCUCAGGAGAGGCGUAGGCAGAUCCCGAGUGCUCGACGUUGAUUAUUUCCUGGGCUAGCAAUCUGACAACUGGAUCCACAAAGAAAACAAGGCUGUUGGUUCUCAUUCAUUCAUUCAGCAUCCUUUGGGUUCACAGCCAUCAACCGGCACAGUGUCAGGUGCCGCAGUCCCCAUUCUGGGACUCGCCUGAGAAGAGUGGCCAUCCCCCCUGGGGUCGGAUGCUUUGGGCCCCACCUCCCAUCCUCCGGAUCUGCUUCUUGCUUCAGCCCCGCUCUGGCGCCCACUGUGCCCAGUGUUGCAUAAAUACCUGUCGUGCACCUGGCAUACGACAGCUGUAACGCCUGCAGCUUUUGGGGGUCUGAUUCUGUUGCUGGCCGUUUCUGCCAACUCUCACGCGUGGGGCCUGCCUCCUUGUGUGGUGACUGCGAGCUCUUGGCUUGAUCUACUGGAAUCAUGAGUGCCUACAUUUGGGGUGCUUUUAUAUGGAGAGGACUGUCGUCUGAUUCAAUUGUGAGCCAAAUUGUGACUUGAAACCACGUGUUGGGGCCCCCAAGGCCACCCCCAGGUUUGGUGAUUUGCUAGGACACACAGUCAUGGGAUAUAGACAUACUCCUGGGGGGUAACUGAUUGCAGCGAAAGGACACAGAGCAAAAUCAGUGAAGAGAAAAGAUGCGUGAGGGACAUCUGGAGGACACCAGGAGCAAGCUUCCAAGAGUCCUUCAGCGGAGUCACACAGGAUGUGCUUGAUUCCUCCAGCAACGAGUUGUGACAACACAUGUGAAAUACUGCCUACCAAGGAGGCUCAUUAGAGACUCGGUGCCAGUGUUUCUGGGAGGCUGGUAACGUGGGCACCUUCUGCCUGCCUAGCACGCAUCAAAAUUCCAGACUCCCGGAGGGGAGCAUGCGUUCAGCACAAACCAUACUAUCUGUACAAACAGUUGUGGCACAGUCAGCCACUCUGAUCAGGGAUCAGUGAGAACCUGCCCCAAAUCUAAGUUCCCCGAUGCCAGCCGAGGGCCAACCCUGCAAACUUUCUAAGGAGAGCAGUCUUGUUAUGGCACCACUUUUCUGCACACUGAUGUCAGCCCCCAGCUCCCACAGAGGCCCAGCUCGAUGUGAGUGUCCAGGUCCCCACCUUGUCACUGCCCUGAGACUCAUCAUUUCUGGACAGUGACGCCAGGAGCAUCCACCCUCAG
ensembl:lncRNA